CUUGAACGUUGGCGGCAGGCCUAACACAUGCAAGUCGAGCGGAUGAAGGGAGCUUGCUCCUGGAUUCAGCGGCGGACGGGUGAGUAAUGCCUAGGAAUCUGCCUGGUAGUGGGGGAUAACGUCCGGAAACGGGCGCUAAUACCGCAUACGUCCUGAGGGAGAAAGUGGGGGAUCUUCGGACCUCACGCUAUCAGAUGAGCCUAGGUCGGAUUAGCUAGUUGGUGGGGUAAAGGCCUACCAAGGCGACGAUCCGUAACUGGUCUGAGAGGAUGAUCAGUCACACUGGAACUGAGACACGGUCCAGACUCCUACGGGAGGCAGCAGUGGGGAAUAUUGGACAAUGGGCGAAAGCCUGAUCCAGCCAUGCCGCGUGUGUGAAGAAGGUCUUCGGAUUGUAAAGCACUUUAAGUUGGGAGGAAGGGCAGUAAGUUAAUACCUUGCUGUUUUGACGUUACCAACAGAAUAAGCACCGGCUAACUUCGUG
rnacentral:rRNA from 1 species